GCGCCCAGCAGAGGUUAGGUGUUUAAAGUUAGGACCUGAAUGGGUUACGUUGCGAUACACGAUCAAACAUCGCCCUUAUAAGCUCUGUGGUAUCCCCGAGCCCCACUCCUGUAUGCAGGGAAAUUAGUCAUUCUCCUUGGUAAACUUUCUUCAAGAAAACGACAGCACGUGUUCUUUUUCACUAGUAGAAGUGACGUUGGUUUCAUGUUGACAACUUUGAAGCCAUUUGGAAGUGUUUCAGUGGAGAGCAAAAUGAAUAACAAAGCGGGCUCCUUUUUCUGGAACCUUAGACAAUUCAGUACAUUAGUUUCAACAAGCAGAACUAUGAGGCUAUGUUGUUUGGGACUUUGCAAACCAAAAAUAGUUCAUUCAAACUGGAACAUUUUAAAUAACUUUCAUAACAGAAUGCAAUCAACUGAUAUCAUUAGAUAUCUCUUUCAGGAUGCAUUCAUUUUUAAAUCAGAUGUUGGCUUUCAAACAAAGGGCAUAAGCACUCUAACAGCCCUUAGAAUUGAAAGACUACUUUAUGCUAAAAGACUGUUUUUUGACUCAAAGCAGUCUCUUGUCCCUGUUGAU
rnacentral:lncRNA from 1 species